GUGUCCUACCGACAAUAGCUUUGACAAUUUGAAAUAUUAAUUUAUUAUCUGAAUCAUCAUAUGGGUUCACUUCUUGCUAACCAAGCACGAGAUCUUCGAUAGCAUUUUUAGGUUGAACUUAUAACUAAAGGUAUGUUUGACUAAGCACAAUGAUUUCAGGAAAGCUCUUCCAUGCCAUGAAUGAACAAUUCUCUUCUUUUCCCUCAGCCAGAUGCACAUAUUGCAUCAAAACACAGCAGCCCUCUUGUUAGCUUUCAUUGACAACUUUCAAGUUCAUUUAAGCUGAUCAAUAAUUGGAAACAAACAGCCUAACUCAUUCAGCUACAACAAUGAGGAAUAACCAGCUGACUGAAGACACAAGAAAAAUGGUGAAAUG
rnacentral:misc_RNA from 1 species